UACGUAGGGACCAAGCGUUGUUCGGAUUUACUGGGCGUAAAGGGCGCGUAGGCGGCAAUUCAAGUCACUUGUGAAAUCUCCGAGCUUAACUCGGAACGGUCAAGUGAUACUGUCUUGCUAGAGUGCAGAAGGGGCAAUCGGAAUUCUUGGUGUAGCGGUGAAAUGCGUAGAUAUCAAGAGGAACACCUGAGGUGAAGACGGGUUGCUGGGCUGACACUGACGCUGAGGCGCGAAAGCUAGGGUAGCAAACAGG
rnacentral:rRNA from 1 species